AUCCUUGCGCGGCGGCUGGACGGGGCCGCACCGGGCAGCACCGGGAAGCAGCGGGCGCGCUCUCCUCGCCUCUCCGGCGGUGUGACGCAUCCAUCAUGGAAUCAGCCCCUGGCAGUGCCAACAUCUACUUCCCCAAGAGUAUUGACUGGCUGUGAUAUUUCUGCUUGGAAAAUGGCUCUGUGGAGUUCAGUCACCAACACCAUGCUUCAUUUGAUGUCAGCCAAGCAGGAAACACCAACACAAUUACCACUACAGUGUAAGUGCAUUAUUGGUUUUGGAAGGAGAAGAACCAUAAAAGCCUCAGCAACCCACCCCAGCAGUAUCCUGUCCACAGCAACGUUGGUGGAAGAAGCAAUGAGGAGUUUCCAAGGAGUUGCCCUCGGACCCUCUGUAGCUUCACUGCUUUCAAAGAGCUGCACGAGGAACAAGAUCACCACAGACAGCAAGUAGCUCUUGCCAGCUCCAAAAACACCUGGGAUUUUGGGAAAAAAGAACCCAAGUUACAAGUCAUCAUCUGAGCCACGUGAAUCAGCGAUGCUGCUUGGUCUGGGUUCAGGGAGAACCUCUGGAUCAUCUCUUCAGCCACUCCCAUUGCCACCUCAGAGCUCACAGGGCCAGACAUCAUGGAGCACUUCACAGUCAUGGCAGAAAGAAAUCUUUACUCUUUAAAUAUAGAGAAAACGUGUUCAACCCUGCUGAAGUCCUGAGCUACUGGAAUAUUUAUGAACCUUGAAGUCACACAGCAUUUGAGGAUACCUCACCAAAAGCUGGCAUUCCUCAUAGACAGCAAUCUUUUGACUCCUGAGUGUUUGAAAUGACAGCAUCUCACAGAGCAGAGACUUACCUAUCAGAGCAGCUUUAAAAACCUGUUUGUAGUGAGUGUGAGACUGGAACACAGCUGGGA